rnacentral:lncRNA from 1 species
AUGUAGCAUGAAAAUGAAAAGUUUAUACGUAUGUACAUACAUAUGCACAUAUUUUAUUAUUAAAGAAAAAAAGAAUUUAUAAAUAAUAAUUUGUUUAAUACGCACAUAUACAUACUAUAUAUAUAUAUAUAUAUAUAUAUAUGUACAUAUUAUUAUCAACUACUUCUCAUACAAGCUUUACUAAGUGCUCCUUUGUUUUUUAUUCUUUUUAUUUUAUUAUUUUAUUUUAUUUUUUUUAUUAAUACUUUACAUUAAAAGCACGUACUAAACCAAGCCAAUCCAAUCCAAGCCAAACUAACAACUCCUACAAAAUCAAUAUAAUCUCAAAAUGAUCAGAUUAAAAUCCACUGUGCUGAAAAACAGGAAUUCCUUCCAUUGUAAAAAUUUAUACAAAUGUAGAAGUAAAGUGAUAAACAGUGAUUAUAUGAUUAAAGGAAAAAGAAUGUUUAGUAGUAAUAACAAUGUAACGAAUGAUAAAUGGAAUAAAGAAGAUACAGCCACAUCAAUAAAUAUAAAUAAGGAGAGGUUACUAAGACCUGAUGUUUAUGACACAGUAAUCAUUGGGGGAGGUGUCACAGGUACAUCCUUAUUAUUUUUAUUAUCGAAAUUUACAGAUUUAAAAAAACUAGCUAUUAUUGAAAGAAGAGGAGAUUUUGCGUUAGUUGCAUCACAUGGUCAAAAUAAUAGUCAGACAAUUCAUUGUGGUGAUAUAGAAACAAAUUAUAGUUUUGAAAAAGCCAAAUUUAUAAAAAGAUAUGCUGAUUUGUUAAGGAAUUAUUUAUGUAAAUUACCAAAAAAUAAAAGAGAAGAUAUAUCAGGUAUAACACAAAAAAUGGUUAUAGGUGUUGGAGAAAAAGAGUGUCAAUUUUUACAUGAGCGGUAUCCAAUUUUUAGUAAAUUAUUUAAAAGUAUGAAAUUAAUUAAUAAAAAUAAUAUAUAUGAGGUAGAGCCAAAAGUAGCAUUAAAAGAUGAGAAUACUUUAAGAGAUGAAAUGUUAUCUGCUUUGUAUAUGCCACCAGAGUUAACAACUUGUGAUUACCAA